rnacentral:lncRNA from 1 species
UAUUCUAAUUGGACUUGCAUCAAUUGUUAAUAUUAUUGGCCUUCCACAUUCACAAUUUACUUUCUUCAAAGUUGGAGGUGAAGAAAGAAAUUCUUUUAACUUUGCCAUAGCUUUUUUUUGUUCUUCUUUCUAUUGAAAUUUUUGAUUCUUUCAUAAUAACUCAUAUAAUGGAUGUGCUAUAUGUGCAAAAUGAGGUAUCCAUAUAUGAUAGAAGAUACAUGCUCCUAAAAAUCUCUUGACUUUUGUCGUAUUUGCAUACUCUUUCAUUUUUUUUUAUAAUAUCAACUUUUUUCCUACUUGGUUUGCGUCCAUAUAAACCACACAUGUGCCCUACUACCAAAACUUCUUUUAUUCCAAAUAUUGAUUAUGUCCCCAAUAAGGUUAAAUGAAAUUCUUCUAGCCUUAUCAAAAUCUUCUC